rnacentral:rRNA from 1 species
UACGUAGGGGGCAAGCGUUGUCCGGAUUUAUUGGGCGUAAAGAGCUCGUAGGCGGCUCGGCAAGUCGGGUGUGAAAACUUCAGGCUCAACCUGGAGCGGCCACUCGAUACUGCUAUGGCUUGAGUCCGGUAGGGGACCACGGAAUUCCUGGUGUAGCGGUGAAAUGCGUAGAUAUCAGGAGGAACACCGGUGGCGAAGGCGGCUACCUGGACAGAAACUGACGCUGAGGCGCGAAAGCUAGGGGAGCAAACAGG